rnacentral:tRNA from 1 species
GGUUCUAUGGUGUAGCGGUUAGCACUUCGGAUUCUGACUCAUUCCGACAACCCCGGUUCGAUUCCGGGUAGGACCU